UUUUUUUUUUUUUUUUUUUUUUUUUUUUUUUUUUUUUUUUGGGGGGAAGCUAUAAAAUUACAUAUUAUGAUUUAAAAGCCUCUAUCAAGAGGAU
rnacentral:ribozyme from 13 species